UACAAUAAAAAUUACAUUUAAUAUUAUUUAUUAACAAUUAUGUAUUUUUGAUCUAUUACAAAUCGAUGAAAUAUAUGGUGGACAUAAUAUACGCAAUUGACUGAUUCAAAUAUCCCGCCGUAUAUUUGGCGGGAUAGAAUGGCGAAACACUUGCAACGGUCAAAUAUAUAUCGUUCGUUCUUUUACGUAUUUUGUACAAUUAGCGUGUGCAUUUAAUAUGUUCAAUGUUAAGAGAAUGCUAGGUUCGGUACUAAUUUUACGAAAUGUACAGUGCAGCACGAAAGCAAUGACGUAUUAUUUAUGAGCUGCAAUGAUCGAAUAGGUUAAAUAAUAG